UAAGCGGAGGAAAAGAAACUAACAAGGAUUCCCCUAGUAGCGGCGAGCGAAGCGGGAAAAGCUCAAAUUUGUAAUCUGGCGUCUUCGACGUCCGAGUUGUAAUCUCGAGAAGUGUUUUCCGUGAUAGACCGCAUACAAGUCUCUUGGAACAGAGCGUCAUAGUGGUGAGAACCCAGUACACGAUGCGGAUGCCUAUUACUUUGUGAUACACUUUCGAAGAGUCGAGUUGUUUGGGAAUGCAGCUCAAAUUGGGUGGUAAAUUCCAUCUAAAGCUAAAUAUUGGCGAGAGACCGAUAGCGAACAAGUACCGUGAGGGAAAGAUGAAAAGCACUUUGGAAAGAGAGUUAACAGUACGUGAAAUUGUUGGAAGGGAAACACAUGCAGUGAUACUUGCUAUUCGGGGCAACUCGAUUGGCAGGCCCGCAUCAGUUUUUCGGGGCGGAAAAUCGUAGAGAGAAGGUAGCAGUUUCGGCUGUGUUAUAGCUCUUUACUGGAUUCGCCCUGGGGGACUGAGGAACGCAGCGUGCUUUUAGCAUGAGCUUCGGCUUAUCCACG
rnacentral:rRNA from 1 species